GUCGGGCGGCGUGGCGGGCGCCUGUAGUCCCAGCUACUUGGGAGGCUGAGGCAGGAGAAUUGCGUGAACCCGGGAGGCGGGGCCUGCAGUGAGCUGAGAUCCGGCCACUGCACUCCAGCCUGGGCAUAGAGCGAGACUCCAUCUCAAAAAAAUAAAUAAAUAAAUAAAUAAAGUAAAAUAAAAUAAAAAGAAAAAUGUAUAUUUCUUUUUUCUUUUUUUUUUUUCUUUUUGAGACAGAGUCUCGCUCUGUCACCCAGGCUGGAGUGCAGUGGCUGGAUCUCAGCUCACUGCAAGCUCCGCCUCCCGGGUUUACGCCAUUCUCCUGCCUCAG
rnacentral:SRP_RNA from 1 species